rnacentral:tRNA from 1 species
GGAGAUGUGCCCGAAUUGGUGAAGGGGAUCGGUUGCUAACCGAUUGUCUACGGACAUGUGGGUUCGAGUCCCACCAUCUCCU